rnacentral:misc_RNA from 1 species
GUGAAGAACGUAGCGAAAUGCGAUACGUAAUGUGAAUUGCAGAAUUCAGUGAAUCAUCGAAUCUUUGAACGCACAUUGCGCCUGCCAGCACUCUGGCAGGCAUGCCUGUUCGAGCGUCAUUUCAACCAUCAAGCCCUAGGCUUGCGUUGGAGCCCUGCGGCUGCCGCAGGCCCCUAAAAGCAGUGGCGGGCUCGCUAUCACACCGAGUGCAGUAGAUUACUCUUCGCUCAGGGCGUGUGGCGGGUUCCAGCCGUGAAACCCCCUACUUCUCAAGGUUGACCUCGGAUCAGGUAGGAAUACCCGCUGAACUUAAGCAUAUCAAUAAGCGGAGGA